rnacentral:rRNA from 1 species
UACGUAGGGGGCAAGCGUUGUCCGGAAUCAUUGGGCGUAAAGAGCGUGUAGGCGGCUCGGUAAGUCCGCUCUGGAAAGCCCGGGGCUCAACCCCCGGGAGGCGGGCGGAUACUGUCGGGCUAGAGUACUGUAGGGGCAGGCGGAAUUCCGGGUGUAGCGGUGGAAUGCGUAGAGAUCCGGAGGAAGACCGGUGGCGAAGGCGGCCGCUGGGCAGUUACUGACACUGAGGCGCGACAGCGUGGGGAG